rnacentral:tRNA from 1 species
GGCUGGUUAGCUUAGUCGGUUUGAGCGUGGUGCUGAUAACACGAAGGUCAUGGGCUCGAUCCCCGUUUGGUCCG